UACGUAGGUGGCAAGCGUUGUCCGGAUUUAUUGGGUUUAAAGGGUGCGUAGGCGGUCUUAUAAGUCAGUGGUGAAAUACGGCAGCUCAACUGUCGAGGUGCCAUUGAUACUGUAGGACUUGAGUACAGACGAGGUAGGCGGAAUUGACGGUGUAGCGGUGAAAUGCGCAGAUAUCAGGAGGAACACCGGUGGCGAAGGCGGAUCUCUGGGCCAUUACUGACGCUGAGGAGCGAAAGCGUGGGGAGCGAACAGG
rnacentral:rRNA from 1 species